UGGGGAAUUUUGGACAAUGGGCGCAAGCCUGAUCCAGCAAUGCCGCGUGCAGGACGAAGGCCUUCGGGUUGUAAACUGCUUUUGUACGGAGCGAAAAGGCUCUCUCUAAUACAGGGAGUUCAUGACGGUACCGUAAGAAUAAGCACCGGCUAACUACGUGCCAGCAGCCGCGGUAAUACGUAGGGUGCAAGCGUUAAUCGGAAUUACUGGGCGUAAAGCGUGCGCAGGCGGUUAUGUAAGACAGAGGUGAAAUCCCCGGGCUCAACCUGGGAACUGCCUUUGUGACUGCAUAGCUAGAGUACGGCAGAGGGGGAUGGAAUUCCGCGUGUAGCAGUGAAAUGCGUAGAUAUGCGGAGGAACACCGAUGGCGAAGGCAAUCCCCUGGGCCUGUACUGACGCUCAUGCACGAAAGCGUGGGGAGCAAACAGG
rnacentral:rRNA from 1 species